rnacentral:rRNA from 1 species
UACGAAGGGGGGCUAGCGUUGUUCGGAUUUACUGGGCGUAAAGCGCACGUAGGCGGAUUGUUAAGUCAGGGGUGAAAUCCUGGAGCUCAACUCCAGAACUGCCUCUGAUACUGGCAAUCUUGAGUCCGGAAGAGGUGAGUGGAACUCCUAGUGUAGAGGUGGAAUUCGUAGAUAUUAGGAAGAACACCAGUGGCGAAGGCGGCUCACUGGUCCGGUACUGACGCUGAGGUGCGAAAGCGUGGGGAGCAAACAGG